AUUGAACGCUAGCGGCAGGCCUAACACAUGCAAGUCGAGCGGAUGAAGGGAGCUUGCUCCUGGAUUCAGCGGCGGACGGGUGAGUAAUGCCUAGGAAUCUGCCUGGUAGUGGGGGAUAACGUCCGGAAACGGGCGCUAAUACCGCAUACGUCCUGAGGGAGAAAGUGGGGGAUCUUCGGACCUCACGCUAUCAGAUGAGCCUAGGUCGGAUUAGCUAGUUGGUGGGGUAAAGGCCUACCAAGGCGACGAUCCGUAACUGGUCUGAGAGGAUGAGCAGUCACACUGGAACUGAGACACGGUCCAGACUCCUACGGGAGGCAGCAGUGGGGAAUAUUGGACAAUGGGCGAAAGCCUGAUCCAGCCAUGCCGCGUGUGUGAAGAAGGUCUUCGGAUUGUAAAGCACUUUAAGUUGGGAGGAAGGGCAGUAAGUGAAUACCUUGCUGUUUUGACGGUACCAACAGAAUAAGCACCGGCUAACUUCGUG
rnacentral:rRNA from 1 species